GACGAACGCUGGCGGCGUGCUUAACACAUGCAAGUCGAACGGAAAGGCCCUGCUUUUGUGGGGUUCUCGAUUGGCGAACGGGUGAGUAACACGUGAGUAACCUGCCCUUGACUUUGGGGUAACUUCAGGAAACUGGGGCUAAUACCGGAUAUGAGCUCCUGCUGCAUGGUGGUGGUUGGAAAGUUUCGGCGUUUGGGGAUGGACUCGCGGCUUAUCAGCUUGUUGGUGGGGUAGUGGCUUACCAAGGCUUUGACGGGUAGCCGGCCUGAGAGGGUGACCGGGGACAUUGGGACUGAGAUACGGCCCAGACUCCUACGGGAGGCAGCAGGGGGGAAUAUGGCACAAUGGGGGGAAGCCUGAGGCAGCAACGCCGCGUGCGGGAUGACGGCCUUCGGGUUGUAAACCGAUUUCGCCUGUGACGAAGCGUGAGUGACGGUAAUGGGUAAAGAAGCAACGGCUAACUACGUG
rnacentral:rRNA from 1 species